UUCGGGGUCGUCUAAACGGCAGGACGCUUGGCUUUGAACCAGGAAAUAAAGUUCGACUCCUUUCCCUGGAGCCA
rnacentral:tRNA from 1 species